GAGGCACGGCGUUAAGCCGAGUUCUGUCUUGAGCGAUCAUUUAUCUACGCUUGCUUUUACAAACAAGCUCUAGCGAAGGGUUUUAAUAUAAGACCAAAACCAUCCCUUCUUACUGCAAGUUGGGUUUAUAUGGCCACGCAAGUUACCAAGCGUGCCGGUGGGCUCUUACCCCGCCAUUUCACCUUUACCGCCAAGGCGGAAGUUUGCUUUCUGUUACACUAUCCCUUAGGUUUCCCUAGCCAUCCGUUAGAUGGAACUUUGUCUUAUCGCAGCUCGGACUUUCCUCUUUUGCAAGAUGCAAAAGCGACCGCUUACCGUGCCAG
rnacentral:RNase_P_RNA from 1 species